rnacentral:rRNA from 1 species
UACGGAGGGAGCUAGCGUUGUUCGGAAUUACUGGGCGUAAAGCGCACGUAGGCGGCUUUGUAAGUUAGAGGUGAAAGCCCGGGGCUCAACUCCGGAACUGCCUUUAAGACUGCAUCGCUUGAAUCCGGGAGAGGUGAGUGGAAUUCCGAGUGUAGAGGUGAAAUUCGUAGAUAUUCGGAAGAACACCAGUGGCGAAGGCGGCUCACUGGAUCGGUAUUGACGCUGAGGUGCGAAAGCGUGGGGAGCAAACAGG